rnacentral:rRNA from 1 species
GACGUAGGGCGCGAGCGUUGUCCGGAUUUAUUGGGCGUAAAGGGCUCGUAGGCGGUCUGUCACGUCGGGAGUGAAAACUCAGGGCUUAACCCUGAGCCUGCUUCCGAUACGGGCAGACUAGAGGUAUGCAGGGGAGAACGGAAUUCCUGGUGUAGCGGUGAAAUGCGCAGAUAUCAGGAGGAACACCGAUGGCGAAGGCAGGUCUCUGGGCCGAUACUGACGCUGAGGAGCGAAAGCGUGGGGAGCGAACAGG